GCAGUCUCCGAAACCGAAUAGGAGUCUGUAACUAAAAUUCGCAGGUCUGUUUUCUCCACAGUUUCUGGGCUUUUCCAGUUGGGUUUUGGAUAUUGGACCAUCUCUGAAUUAAAGAAAAUUCUCUAAGCUUCGCGUGGGCUGUAAGAUCGUCAAAAUCUGAUGUACGGAACUCCAGAUAUGGCCCAAACAGCGAAAUAAUACGUGUAGCCCAAUAAAUCCGAAUUUCCAUCCAAAUUUGAGUCCAAUUAAGCUUUAUUUCUUCAAAUCCUUC
rnacentral:lncRNA from 1 species